GCGGGUGUGGCGGAACUGGCAGACGCGCAGGAUUUAGGUUCCUGUGUCCACGCGACGUGCGGGUUCGAGUCCCGUCACCCGCA
rnacentral:tRNA from 1 species